UCCUACGGGGAGGCAGCAGUAGGGAAUCUUCCGCAAUGGGCGAAAGCCUGACGGAGCAAUGCCGCGUGAGUGAUGAAGGUUUUCGGAUCGUAAAGCUCUGUUGCCAGGGAAGAACGCUUGGGAGAGUAACUGCUCUCAAGGUGACGGUACCUGAGAAGAAAGCCCCGGCUAACUACGUGCCAGCAGCCGCGGUAAUACGUAGGGGGCAAGCGUUGUCCGGAAUUAUUGGGCGUAAAGCGCGCGCAGGCGGUCAUUUAAGUCUGGUGUUUAAUCCCGGGGCUCAACCCCGGAUCGCACUGGAAACUGGGUGACUUGAGUGCAGAAGAGGAGAGUGGAAUUCCACGUGUAGCGGUGAAAUGCGUAGAUAUGUGGAGGAACACCAGUGGCGAAGGCGACUCUCUGGGCUGUAACUGACGCUGAGGCGCGAAAGCGUGGGGAGCAAACAGGAUUAGAUACCCUGGUAGUCCACGCCGUAAACGAUGAGUGCUGGGUGUUAGGGGUUUCGAUACCGUUAUGCCGAUUUCUUCCGAUAAGCAUCCGCCGGGGAGACGUCGCAGACU
rnacentral:rRNA from 1 species